GCUUUCAACAUCCCCGUUCCAGAGGCGCAACCCUGGCAUAGCCAGCCAACGACCUGCUGGGACUGAAGGC
rnacentral:sRNA from 1 species